AAAUUGAAGAGUUUGAUCAUGGCUCAGAUUGAACGCUGGCGGCAGGCCUAACACAUGCAAGUCGAACGGUAACAGAAAGCAGCUUGCUGCUUUGCUGACGAGUGGCGGACGGGUGAGUAAUGUCUGGGAAACUGCCUGAUGGAGGGGGAUAACUACUGGAAACGGUAGCUAAUACCGCAUAAUGUCGCAAGACCAAAGAGGGGGACCUUCGGGCCUCUUGCCAUCGGAUGUGCCCAGAUGGGAUUAGCUUGUUGGUGGGGUAACGGCUCACCAAGGCGACGAUCCCUAGCUGGUCUGAGAGGAUGACCAGCCACACUGGAACUGAGACACGGUCCAGACUCCUACGGGAGGCAGCAGUGGGGAAUAUUGCACAAUGGGCGCAAGCCUGAUGCAGCCAUGCCGCGUGUAUGAAGAAGGCCUUCGGGUUGUAAAGUACUUUCAGCGGGGAGGAAGGGAGUAAAGUUAAUACCUUUGCUCAUUGACGUUACCCGCAGAAGAAGCACCGGCUAACUCCGUGCCAGCAGCCGCGGUAAUACGGAGGGUGCAAGCGUUAAUCGGAAUUACUGGGCGUAAAGCGCACGCAGGCGGUUUGUUAAGUCAGAUGUGAAAUCCCCGGGCUCAACCUGGGAACUGCAUCUGAUACUGGCAAGCUUGAGUCUCGUAGAGGGGGGUAGAAUUCCAGGUGUAGCGGUGAAAUGCGUAGAGAUCUGGAGGAAUACCGGUGGCGAAGGCGGCCCCCUGGACGAAGACUGACGCUCAGGUGCGAAAGCGUGGGGAGCAAACAGGAUUAGAUACCCUGGUAGUCCACGCCGUAAACGAUGUCGACUUGGAGGUUGUGCCCUUGAGGCGUGGCUUCCGGAGCUAACGCGUUAAGUCGACCGCCUGGGGAGUACGGCCGCAAGGUUAAAACUCAAAUGAAUUGACGGGGGCCCGCACAAGCGGUGGAGCAUGUGGUUUAAUUCGAUGCAACGCGAAGAACCUUACCUGGUCUUGACAUCCACGGAAGUUUUCAGAGAUGAGAAUGUGCCUUCGGGAACCGUGAGACAGGUGCUGCAUGGCUGUCGUCAGCUCGUGUUGUGAAAUGUUGGGUUAAGUCCCGCAACGAGCGCAACCCUUAUCCUUUGUUGCCAGCGGUCCGGCCGGGAACUCAAAGGAGACUGCCAGUGAUAAACUGGAGGAAGGUGGGGAUGACGUCAAGUCAUCAUGGCCCUUACGACCAGGGCUACACACGUGCUACAAUGGCGCAUACAAAGAGAAGCGACCUCGCGAGAGCAAGCGGACCUCAUAAAGUGCGUCGUAGUCCGGAUUGGAGUCUGCAACUCGACUCCAUGAAGUCGGAAUCGCUAGUAAUCGUGGAUCAGAAUGCCACGGUGAAUACGUUCCCGGGCCUUGUACACACCGCCCGUCACACCAUGGGAGUGGGUUGCAAAAGAAGUAGGUAGCUUAACCUUCGGGAGGGCGCUUACCACUUUGUGAUUCAUGACUGGGGUGAAGUCGUAACAAGGUAACCGUAGGGGAACCUGCGGUUGGAUCACCUCCUUACCUUAAAGAAGC
rnacentral:rRNA from 3 species